rnacentral:rRNA from 1 species
UACGUAUGGGGCGAGCGUUGUUCGGAGUUAUUGGGCGUAAAGGGCGUGUAGGCGGCCUGGUCAGUCGAAUGUGAAAUCCCACGGCUCAACCGUGGAACUGCGUUCGAUACUGCCUGGCUUGAGUAUGUGAGAGGUGUGCGGAAUUCCUGGUGUAGCGGUGGAAUGCGUAGAUAUCAGGAAGAACACCGAUGGCGAAGGCAGCACACUGGCGCAAUACUGACGCUGAGGCGCGAAAGCGUGGGGAGCAAACAGG